rnacentral:snRNA from 1 species
CUUCUAACAAGCACAUAUACUAAAAUUGGAACAACACAGAACAUAAGCACGGCCCCUGCACAAGGAUGACACGCAAAUUCGUGAAGCGUUGAAUAUUUAA